rnacentral:rRNA from 1 species
GAUCCUGGCUCAGGACGAACGCUGGCGGCGCGCCUAACACAUGCAAGUCGAACGAGAGAGAGGAAGCUUGCUUCCUCAAUCGAGUGGCGAACGGGUGAGUAACGCGUGAGGAACCUGCCUCAAAGAGGGGGACAACAGUUGGAAACGACUGCUAAUACCGCAUAAGCCCACGGGUCGGCAUCGACCAGAGGGAAAAGGAGCAAUCCGCUUUGAGAUGGCCUCGCGUCCGAUUAGCUGGUUGG